rnacentral:rRNA from 1 species
GACCUCGGAUCAGGUAGGGAUACCCGCUGAACUUAAGCAUAUCAAUAAGCGGAGGAAAAGAAACCAACAGGGAUUGCCUCAGUAACGGCGAGUGAAGCGGCAACAGCUCAAAUUUGAAAUCUGGCCUUCUGGUCCGAAUUGUAAUUUGUAGAGGAUGCUUCGAACAUGGUCCGGUCUAAGUUCCUUGGAACAGGACGUCAUAGAGGGUGAGAAUCCCGUAUGUGACUGGGUGCCUAAGUUUAUGUGAAGCUCCUUCAACGAGUCGAGUUGUUUGGGAAUGCAGCUCAAAAUGGGUGGUAAAUUUCAUCUAAAGCCAAAUAUUGGCCAGAGACCGAUAGCGCACAAGUAGAGUGAUCGAAAGAUGAAAAGCACUUUGGAAAGAGAGUUAAAUAGUACGUGAAAUUGUUGAAAGGGAAGCGCUUGCAAUCAG